rnacentral:rRNA from 1 species
CCAGACUCCUACGGGAGGCAGCAGUCGGGAAUAUUGCGCAAUGGAGGAAACUCUGACGCAGUGACGCCGCGUAUAGGAAGAAGGUUUUCGGAUUGUAAACUAUUGUCGUGAGGGAAGAAAUUGACAGUACCUCAGGGGGAAGCUCCGGCUAACUAUGUGCCAGCAGCCGCGGUAAUACAUAGGGAGCAAGCGUUAUCCGGAUUUAUUGGGUGUAAAGGGUGCGUAGGCGGAGGUGCAAGUCAGCGGUCAAAUUGCGGGGCUCAACCCCGUACUGCCGUUGAAACUGCAUCCCUUGAGUGCGCGAGAAGUAUGCGGAAUGCGUGGUGUAGCGGUGAAAUGCAUAGAUAUCGCGCAGAACUCCGAUUGCGAAGGCAGCAUACCGGCGCCCGACUGACGCUGAGGCACGAAAGCGUGGGUAUCGAACAGGAUUAGAUACCCCGGUAUC